rnacentral:lncRNA from 1 species
UUUUUUUUUUUUGUGAAAUUGAUUGUCACAAAGGAAAAAAGAAAAGAGUCGUUGAAAGUUGAGAGAAUUGCAUAAAACGAAAUUAUUAGUACAAAUUACUGAAAAUUUGUGUGUUCGUUCAAUGGAGUUUUUACUUUGAAGUUUUGAAUGUGUGUUUGUAAGAGGGGUUGAUUGAUGAAGAGAGAAGUAUUAUGUAUUCAUGCUCAAAUAUUUAUGCCUUUUCCGGAUCUUGAGAAUCCAAAAUUUCCAAGGCGUGAAGAUUAUUGUUAGGGAAACUGCAAUAUUUUUCUGAGUUAAGUCCUUGCUUGGCACUUGGAAGGUUGUGAAGGAGAAUGACAAAGAAUUAAGUUUCUUAUUGCCCUUCUCACGAGGCAACCAAUGGUGCAGCCAUGGCAGUUUUCACUCUGCUCUUUGAUUAAGCAGAGAAAAUCUGAGUCUUUUCCAUACCUCAAUUUAACUUUUGUUUGAACACUGAAGUUGUAUAUUGGAGAAGCUUUCUGGGAAUAAAUUUGAACUGAAGUUAUUGGUUUCAGUCUUAAAACUGCUUUGAUUUUUGAACUUUUUCUGCAAUAGUUGGGUUUUCAUACAAAAGGUAACAAAAAUGCCAUAAUCUAGCGUCUUAAUAUUUUCAUGUCUCCUAUAAUUUGUUCUGAAUUUUUGUAAUUUGUCCCACCCCCAUAGCAUAUGUAUUGUCCUCUAAUCAACUUAAAAGUAUUUGAAAUUUGAAAGUAAUUUUUAUUUGUCUGUGUGGUAUAAAAGCUUUAAUAUGUUUAGUAAUUUGACUAUUUUUUUUUUGUAAAAGUUACAAAUCAGUAUUUAGAAGCUUCCUCCGUCCUUGUGCUCCUCUUUCUAUUCUACACUAAAAUAAUGAGAUUACAUGGAUAAACUUAUGAAUCAUCAUACAACAUGUUUAAGCGCACAUUUGAUUGUAUGAGUUAGAAAGAUAGUCAUUCCAUGUGCUCACAUAGUCAAAGUUCAAAAUUUCUGCCAUGUAGAUAACUAAUUUCUAUAAGAAGUUAAGCUUUGAAUAUUCUAACGUUGAGCCAUUUUAUUUCUCUCUUGGACCUCGCCAUCUUGCCUUCUGUCUUGAUGAUAGACUAUUUCCCUUGACUAUGUCUGUUUCUUCGUUUUCUUUCCGUUUUAUCUAGAUGAGAUAACAUAGUUUAAAGAUUUAUCAUUUGCUAAUUGAUGCAACAGACAAUACUCUCAGAUUGUAGUAAGUGUUUAUUGGACUAUUUAAUGUUCCAUAUAUAAGUUCAUAUUGACAAAGAAAAGUUUGGUUUCCUUAAAGCAUUAUUUUCUAUGUUUUAGUCUUUUGAAGCAGUAAUUUUAUUUUGGAGGAGAGCGGAUGUUGUUGACCCAAGCCAAUGUUUCUUGGGAUUUUUAUCCAGAAGUAAGCUUCUAAAAAAGUAGGAUAGACUAUGCUUUUUUAGAGAAACAUUUAUGUCCAGUUCUAAUUAAGAUUCCUCAUAAAAACUUUCAUUUUCUAUAUAGAGUAUGAACUGCAUUUCCACCAAUGAAAACCAUGAUUUUAUGUUAAAUUGGUUGCUUUGGUUUUACCAACAAACUCUUCAUCACAAUGUUGUAUUUAAGUGAAUAAGUUGCCGAAGCUACACAAAAAUUUGAAAAAUGAUUCCGAAAUUGCUUUUAUGGUAUUGAAAGUAUUUUCUAGAGUAAAUCAUUGUUUAAAAUUUCUUUUAAGACUUUUCCUAAUAGUGUCCUUCUGGACUAUUUUAAAUUCAGGUUACCUCUAUCAACCUAUUGAGUAGUAAUUGAGUUAUUCUUCAACUUUGAAGGGUAGUAACAUCACGCUUCUGCUGGUGGUAACAUUGUCGCUACCUGUAAUUCUCUAAAGCAAGGUAUGGUGUAUUAUCUUGGUUGUUGUACUUCACAGUAAAUUUGAUAUUAUGGAGGACUGUAGUAUCGAAUAUUUAGCAUUUUCACACCGAUUGAAAUGUCUUAUUUAAGCAUUGUUUUUUUUUGGAUCAUCUCUUUGGAAUCUAGACUUAUUAUUUAGGAGAACACAUGGUCUACUUUAAUUACACGCCUUCUUUUUCUUUGUGAGUUACAAAUAUCCAGUCUGGUCCAGAUUUAGUUUCAACGGCCAAAAGACAUUGUUCGGAAGUUGGUAUCAGGUGAUUUAGACCUUGGCAUCAUUGGUGUCGACACAAUCAGUGAAUAUUGACAAGUAGGAACCGAAUGUUUCAGCUUAUUUGUCCAUAUGAAGCAUAAAAAAGAGCCAAUUAUGAUCCAAACUUAAACUAAUUCUAUUAGUUGCUAACGUAUUUCUGUGGCAGGGGAAUGAAGAUCUCAUCAUUGUCCAUGAUUCCCCUGACUAUGGCCAUUAUCGUCUAUCUGUAGCUGUAAGUCGUUGUGCUUUGCGGUAUUAUUUACGCUUUUUAAAUGCCGGUGAUAAUUAUAUAACUGGAUUGUCAUUGAAUUUAUGGUUCUAUAUAACAACAGCAUGUCACAUUACGACUGAACUAAUUGUACAUUAUUCUCUACACUUUUUAAAUGCCGGUGAUAAUUAUAUAACUGGAUUGUUAUUGGAUUUAUAGUUCUAUAAUUGGGAACUUACCAACAACUUGUCACAUGACGACUGAACUAAUUGUACAUCAUUCUCUGUCCAUCUAAAAUACCUAUUCAUGCUGGUGCGGUACAUCUUUCUUUGCCAUAUCUUAUUAUAUGAUCCAAAGAUGAAUUUUUCCAUAAUUAGGUUAUAUUAUUUCUCGAGAAAAGCUGAAAUUCAAUGAAAGAGCUAACAUCUUCACCAUUUCAGAUCCUAUUUUUCGCUUGGGGCUAAGUUACAUAUUUACAAUGGCUGAAAAUCUGCCUUAAGAAUCAUUUAAAUGAUGAUUGAAUGUUCUCUCAUGUUUGAAGUGGUUCUCAAUUAAGGAUCUUUGCAAGUGAAAGGUCUUAACAACAAUUUGUUGUUGUAUCUUAUAACUAUUCAUAUGCAAAGUGUAUACAAUUAUUAGAAUUUUAUAAAUGGAAAGGCAAUGUUAAAAUGGAGUUUCUUUGGAUAAAUGUUUUCUUUCUAUUUCUCUUUCUUUUGAGUUGUUUAUUUUGCUGUCAACAAAUUAGUUAUUGUACACUUAUGCUACCAAAUAAAAGUUUAAUCUCUUUGUUGUCUUCUUGCCCAACAGGAAUAAAAUAAAAAAAUAAAGAGAUUGUACUGGAACAUACAGAAAAUAUAUCAGAAUAUUACCUGAUGAUUUUUGUUAUGCACAUGUGCUACCUUCUAUUUCCGCCAAUUCGGAUGAUUUGUAUUACGGAUAUGUGCUAAGACUUAUUCUACUUUUGCAUUUCUCAUAGCAGCUUGUUGUCUCGGAAAUUUGACCUCAAUACACGUGUACUGAUUGGUAGUGAUGUCAAAACUUAUGUUUAUUUUUGCAGUUGUUUGUAUAACCUUUAUAGCUUGUUCUUUUAACACCUUAAAGCAUGUUAUUGUUUUACCUGUUAUUAUUCAUCAUGUUUAUGUUGUCUCUUUUUCUUGCGAAUUUAUUGAUAUAUUUUUCCCCGUUUGACUUGUUGAGCAGAGAGUAGAAAAUAAGCAGAAAUAGAGAAGAAAAGAACUUAAAGCUGUCAACUUUGUUUUUAAUAUUACUUGACUUAAGGAGAUAACAACAUAUGUCCACAUGUAUAUAGGCUUAGACAAACAAAACAGACCUAAUAUCUAGGACCUGUAACCCACUACCACUUUAUUAGCAAAGCUAAUUUGACUUGAGUAAAUAAAGAAAACUACUUAACACACUACUGCACUUUAUUAGCAAAGCUAACUUGACUUGAGUAAAUAAAGGAAAUUACUUAACAGAAACCAAAAGACAAACCAACUAAAUUGGUUUGAUUUCUUUUGUGAGAAAAGAUUUCUUUUGUGAGAAAAACCAAUUCAAAUCGAACAAAAAAUACCCCUACAAAAAUGAGAAUGUUACAAAAGUUUGAUCGACGAAAAAGAACAAUGACACUAAAAUUAAACAGCAGGUGACUUCGACAAACUCAGGUAUUAAUCCUUCAUAUGGCUAGCAGUAUCUGCAAUCCUGCUUCUCUUGAAGUACCUGUAGGCCCAAGAAAUAGCAGCAAAUGUUGACGCCCCAAAUCCAAAGACGGAUAAAAAUCCAGAAACGGCGAUGAAGAGAAGAGUCCCAAUAGGGAACCAAAUGGGGCUAGAGACGAGGAUCAAAGGCGUGAAGAAAAUGAGGGUAAUAUAGUUUCAUAUAGUGUAUAAGAAUAUAAAAAUCCCAUAAAAUUACCGAAGCGUAAGAAUGGUGCAUGCUCUAUCCAAGCAUGAUGUAACAAUGACUUCUGCAGCAUCGGUAAUUUACAGCUUCAUAAGCUCGAUUUUUUUUUUUAUCAUUUUCCAGGAAUAUAAUGAGAUAGAUUAAAAGAAAAGAAAAAGAAAAAACAAUUUACCAUACAAAUUGUUAAUUAAGCUGGAAAUUAAUGGUAAAAAACCAGUUUAAUAGUAUUACCAAUAUCACCACCUAGAAUUUAACAAAGAUGCAGCUAAUGUCCACUCGAUAUAUUUCCAAAGAAUGAACAAUUUUGUGAACGAAAUCCAAAAUUAGUUUACCCCAAUAUAUACUACAUGUCCCUGCCGCCAUUCUAAUACAACUUCACCCUAAUUAAUGACCAAACAUGCUGAUAUCUCCUUUUAUUAAGGAAAAAUAUCUUGAUAAUGAGAGUGAAAAAAAUAAAUUAAUUUCAACAAAGAACUGGUACGUACAUAACCUGUAAACAUAUCCAGUCUAUUAGCCACUAAGAGUUCAAUUGAACGGUUUAUUGCUUGACUUGAACUAUAUAUAUUGUAACAAUUAAAAAGAAUGAGAUUAUCAUCCUUCUGAAUCCAUUGAAUCUAAAUCUUGGAUUCGCCUAUUUUAUUUAACUAGUUGACGUUGCAGAUCCUCGAAACUCCAAUCCCUUCUCAUCCCAGGGCUCCUUACUAACCUGG